rnacentral:rRNA from 1 species
CUUCCAGCAGUCCAGAAUAUUAGUCAAUGCUCGAAAGAGUGAACUAGCUAACUGAAAUCAAUUAAAAAUAAUAAUUGAUAACAUAAGGGAAAAUAAUGAUAWUACCUUAUUAUWAGUGUCGUCCAAAACUGGUGCCAGAAGACUCGGUAAGGCCAGAGACAYAAACGUUAAUCGUCUUAAUCAGGCGUAAAGGGUUUGUAGGCGGCUUUAAAAUUAAUWAAWWUYWAAUAAAWUAAAAAUAAAAGCUAGAAUCAAAUAGAGGAUAUAUKAAAKAAUGCUUAGAGUAGGUCYGAUAUCCUUARAUACUAAGUAGAAUAUUAAAGGCGAAAGCUUUUUUCCAWUAAUGAUUGACGCUCAGAAACGAAGGUGAGGAUAGGAAAUAGGAUUAGAUACCCAAAAUACCCCUCUCUGUCAACGAUGAAUGGUAGUUAUUAGUAAAAAUUAUUAAUAACAAUGUUAACACGAUAACCAUUCCGCCUUGUGAGUACAAUUGCAAAAUUGAAAACAAAAAAAUUAGUCGGUUUCGGAGCAAACGAAGUGAAGCAUGUUAUUUAAUUCGAAUAAUCCGCAA